GCCAGUAUGGCGUAGUGGUUUGAGUGUUGGACUAUGACUCUCAAGGUCAGGGUUUGAGUCCCAGCUGAGCCA